rnacentral:rRNA from 1 species
AACGAACGCUGGCGGCAUGCCUAACACAUGCAAGUCGAACGAGAUCUUCGGGUCUAGUGGCGCACGGGUGCGUAACGCGUGGGAAUCUGCCCUUUGGUUCGGAAUAACAGUUGGAAACGACUGCUAAUACCGGAUGAUGACGAAAGUCCAAAGAUUUAUCGCCAGAGGAUAAGCCCGCGUAGGAUUAGCUAGUUGGUGUGGUAAAGGCGCACCAAGGCGACGAUCCUUAGCUGGUCUGAGAGGAUGAUCAGCCACACUGGGACUGAGACACGGCCCAGACUCCUACGGGAGGCAGCAGUGGGGAAUAUUGGAAAAUGGGCGAAAGCCUGAUCCAGCAAUGCCGCGUGAGUGAUGAAGGCCUUAGGGUUGUAAAGCUCUUUUACCCGGGAUGAUAAUGACAGUACCGGGAGAAUAAGCUCCGGCUAACUCCGUGCCAGCCGCCGCAGUAA